rnacentral:rRNA from 1 species
GACGAACGCUGGCGGCGUGCCUAAUACGUGCAAGUCGGGCGGACCGAACGAGGGCUUGCUCUUGUUUGGUCAGCGGCGGACGGGUGAGUAACACGUGGGCAACCUGCCCGCAAGACCGGGAUAACUCCGGGAAACCGGAGCUAAUACCGGAUAACACCGAAGACCGCAUGGUCUUCGGUUGAAAGGCGGCCUUUGGGCUGUCACUUGCGGAUGGGCCCGCGGCGCAUUAGCUAGUUGGUGAGGUAACGGCUCACCAAGGCGACGAUGCGUAGCCGGCCUGAGAGGGUGACCGGCCACACUGGGACUGAGACACGGCCCAGACUCCUACGGGAGGCAGCAGUAGGGAAUCUUCCGCAAUGGGCGAAAGCCUGACGGAGCGACGCCGCGUGAGCGAAGAAGGCCUUCGGGUCGUAAAGCUCUGUUGUGAGGGACGAAGGAGCGCCGUUCGAAGAGGGCGGCGCAGUGACGGUACCUCACGAGAAAGCCCCGGCUAACUACGUG